UCCGGUUUGAAGAGACCAAAAUCUCUACAGUAGAUGUGGAUCUCAAAGUAACGUUGAGUUUUUUCUCUUUAAUACAGAUAAUACUCAUUCAUUAAUUAGUCACAACAAAAACGAUGAUGAUUACCGCCCAGAACUUGAGAAAACAGCUGACAAAACCGAAGAACGGCGGCAGGCUCCAGCCCAGGGAGUACAACCACGCCGCCAUGAUGACGACGAGGGCCCGUUUUCGUGACAACACCCCGAUGGAGGUCAGAGGUCGCGUGAUAACGAAGUAGCGGUCGACAGCGAUCACCGUCAGCGUGAUCAUGGAGCAGAUCCCGAAGAGAGCGCCGCAGAACGCGUACAGCUCGCAACCUAAAGACAGAGACAAGAUUACAGUAAUGGGGACAGAUAGUGUUUGAAAAAUGUGCUAUGCUUAAGAAAGAAGAAGCAUUUAAGACUUUCAAUGAACUUAUAGGACAGGAACUGGAACAGGAAACGCCUGCAAGUGAAAGACAUGGCGUAAGAUAGGUAACAGUCUAUUUGUAAGUGACAUGUGAUAUAAAGAUUCAGUUGCUUUGUAUGUCAUGGAAAACACAAUGGGGGCAACCAACUGUUUAAAAGCAGACUAUCGAGCCUCUAGGUAGUUAGAUAGAUACGCAUGUUUUCAAAUAAAGUGGACUAAAGGGAGUGCAAAAUGCGUAAAAGAAAACUCUGCAGGCAGUUUAACGAGACAUACAGGUGCAGAAGAUGCUGAUGAUGUUUAAUUAAUUUAUGAAGGACACAAUAACUGCUCCUCUCUUACAGUCAUCGCAGCCAAAGAAAAGUCAGACUGUGGUUUAAUGAACUGAUCAAUCCUCCCUGAAAGAGUAAAUUUCUUGUUAAAAGACAGACUCAACAAGAUAAACCAGCACCUCCUCUGCUUGUCUUUCUCUUUUUCUUUACACUCUGUGAUUAAAACUUAAAGUGAACUCUCUCUCUGCCUUAUUAAAAUGACCUCGGGGCAUCUGUCUGGGGAGACGGAGGAUCGAGGAUCGACUCAAAUGAAAACACUUCGCCUUGUUUUCUCUGAGCUGAACAUUAUACUUUCAUGGUGGGAAAUUAAAACGGAUCUGAAAGCCUGAAGGUGGAGGGGGGGGGGACACAGACAAGGACUGGAUCAGAUCUUUACAAGUCUGUGCACUGGUACUUGGUAGCUUUGGGAGAACAUAUAUUUCCUAUCUUGUAUCUCUAUAUCCAAUUUUCCUACAAAUGUUCAGUGCCAAUCGUUUAGUUGUUUAAAGAACCACACCAGCAGUUUUAGUCCAUGAAAUAAAAUUUGCAGACCAUUUUACACAUGAUCGGUAUCAUCUUGAUUUCCUUUGCUCCAGGCAG